GAGUUUGAUCGUGGCUCAGAUUGAACGCUGGCGGCAGGCCUAACACAUGCAAGUCGAGCGGCAGCGCGGGGCAACCUGGCGGCGAGCGGCGGACGGGUGAGUAACGCGUAGGAAUCUACCCAGUAGCGGGGGAUAGCCCGGGGAAACUCGGAUUAAUACCGCAUACGCCCUAAGGGGGAAAGCAGGGGAUCUUCGGACCUUGCACUAUUGGCAGAGCCUGCGUUGGAUUAGCUAGUUGGUAGGGUAAAGGCCUACCAAGGCAACGAUCCAUAACUGGUCUGAGAGGAUGAUCAGUCACACCGGAACUGAGACACGGUCCGGACUCCUACGGGAGGCAGCAGUGGGGAAUAUUGGACAAUGGGGGCAACCCUGAUCCAGCCAUGCCGCGUGUGUGAAGAAGGCCUUCGGUUGUAAG
rnacentral:rRNA from 1 species